GCAGAACGAGGACAGGGCCCCGUUGCCCAAAUGCCCCGGCCGGGCGCAGCGAGUGUGUCCAGGGCACCUGAGGUGUGGGCGAGCACCGCGAGGAGGAGAGGGGCCCAGGCCAUGGCGAGAUCCCACCAGCUGCGCGUCCCCACGCCGACGGGGCUGUGCCGCGGACCCCGACUCCCUCUUAAACCCCUGCCCGGCCGCAGCACGGCCCCUCCAUGCAAAUGCGGCCCCGCGCUCUCGGCCACACCUCAGGUUCUCUGGUCCAGGCAGCGAUUACUCAGCCGGCCUCGAAGUCGGCGAACCCAGGAGACACCGUGCAGAUCACCUGCUCCGGGAGUGAAGAUGGUUAUGGCUGGCACCAGCAGAAGACCCCUGGCAGUGCCCCUGUCACCGUGAUCUAUGCCAGCAGCAACAGACCCUCGGGCAUCCCUUCACGAUUCUCUGGUUCUACAUCUGGCUCCACAGCCACGUUAACCAUCACUGGUGUCCAAGCCGAGGACGAGGCCGUCUAUUACUGUGGGAGCUCCGACAGCAGUGGUGGUGUUUCAGUGGCGCAGGGAGAUGUGGUCCGGAAGCUGGUGGUGGCCUCCAGUUAUCCUACUCCGCUUUUCCUGGGUGACCACUUUGGCAGAUGAAGUCUUAACCUUCAG